UACGGAGGGUGCAAGCGUUAUCCGGAUUUACUGGGUUUAAAGGGUGUGUAGGCGGACUUUUAAGUCAGCGGUGAAAUCUCCGGGCUCAACCCGGAAAACUGCCAUUGAUACUAUUGGUCUUGAAUGUUGUUGAGGUGGGCGGAACGGGUCAUUGUAGCGGUGAAAUGCAUAGAUAUGACCCGGAACACCGAUUGCGAAAGGCAGCCCACUAAGCAACGAUUGACGCUGAGGCACGAAAGCGUGGGGAUCAAACAGGA
rnacentral:rRNA from 1 species